rnacentral:rRNA from 1 species
CGCGUAUACAAUCUACCUUUUACAGGGGCAUAGCCCGGGGAAACCCGGAUUAAUAUCCCAUGGUAUCAAGACAUGGCAUCAUGAUUUGAUUAAAGCUUCGGCGGUAAAAGAUGAGUAUGCGUCCUAUUAGUUAGUUGGUAAGGUAACGGCUUACCAAGGCAGCGAUAGGUAGGGGUCCUGAGAGGGAGAUCCCCCACACUGGUACGUGAGACACGGACCGACGACUCCUACGGGAGGGCAGCAGUGAGGAAGUAAUUGGUACGAAAUAGGGCGGGAGAAGGCCUCGAUCCACGCCACUGC